rnacentral:rRNA from 1 species
CCUACGGGAGGCAGCAGUGGGGAAUAAUAGGGGCUUGGGGCGAGCCUGAUCAGCAUGCCGCGUGAGUGAUGAAGGCCUUAGGGUUGUAAAGCUCUUUUACCCGAGAUGAUAAUGACAGUAUCGGGAGAAUAAGCUCCGGCUAACUCCGUGCCAGCAGCCGCGGUAAA